UGUUGAUGAUUGGGAUAAAAGAGCUCCCGUAAAAGUCUCUAACGAUGGUUGCACCAAUGACUUUUUAAUGGUUGGUCUUUCCACAAAGGACAUGCCAGUGACCAAAGCCGAUUCAAUAGAUGUUUUAUGUGAUUAUAUCAUGGCAAUAGAAGACGAUACGACACUAGAGAGAACAUGGGUGCGAAGUUUCAAUCCUUUUAAGAUAGAAAUAUCUGUCAAAGACCUGCAAAACAUAUUAAUGACAACUCAAGAUAUGAUUCUAAGAUGUUUUGAUAUGGCUGUUCGGCUGCUUGCCAAUAAAGAG
rnacentral:misc_RNA from 1 species